rnacentral:rRNA from 1 species
AACGAACGCUGGCGGCGUGGAUAAGACAUGCAAGUCGGACGAGAUUUUCCGUUGUAGCAAUACGAUGGAAAGUCUAGUGGCGAACGGGUGCUUAACACGUGGGCAACCUGCCAUGAAGUGGGGGAUAGCUCGCCGAAAGGCGAAUUAAUACCGCAUGUGAUUAGAGAGGACAUCCUUUCGAAAUUAAAGUCGGGGCAACCUGACGCUUCUUGUGGGGCCCGCGGCCUAUCAGCUAGUUGGUGAGGUAAUGGCGCACCAAGGCUUUGACGGGUAGCUGGUCUGAGAGGACGACCAGCCACACUGGGACUGAGACACGGCCCAGACACCUACGGGUGGCAGCAGUCGAGAAUUUUUGACAAUGGGGGAAACCCUGAUCGAGCGACGCCGCGUGGAGGAUGAAGGUCUUCGGAUUGUAAACUCCUGUCAUUGGGGAACAAGCUGCAUACGUUAACUGCGUGUGCAUUGAUAGUACCCGAAGAGGAAGAGACGGCUAACUCUGUGCCAGCAGCCGCGGUAACAC